rnacentral:rRNA from 1 species
CCCUUCUCGGGUUACCGAAUUCAGAUAAACUCCGAAUGCCAUGUACUUAUACUCGGGAGUCAGACUGCGAGUGAUAAGAUCCGUAGUCGAAAGGGAAACAGCCCAGACCACCAGUUAAGGUCCCCAAAUAUAUGUUAAGUGGAAAAGGAUGUGGGGUUGCUUAGACAACCAGGAUGUUGGCUUAGAAGCAGCCACCAUUGAAAGAGUGCGUAAUAGCUCACUGGUCGAGUGACCCCGCGCCGAAAAUGUACCGGGGCUAAACAUAUUACCGAAACUGUGGAUGAACCUCUUUAGAGGUUCGUGGUAGGAGAGCGUUCUAAGGGCGGUGAAGUCAGACCGGAAGGACUGGUGGAGCGCUUAGAAGUGAGAAUGCCGGUAUGAGUAGCGAAAGAAGGGUGAGAAUCCCUUCCACCGAAUAUCUAAGGUUUCCUGAGGAAGGCUCGUCCGCUCAGGGUUAGUCGGGACCUAAGCCGAGGCCGAUAGGCGUAGGCGAUGGACAACAGGUAGAGAUUCCUGUACCAGUGCUAAUUGUUUAACCGAUGGGGUGACACAGAAGGAUAGGGAAUCGCACGAAUGGAAAUGUGCGUCCAAGCAGUGAGUGUGAGAAGUAGGCAAAUCCGCUUCUCGCGAAGCAUGAGCUGUGAUGGGGAAGGAAAUUAAGUACGGAAGUUCCUGAUUUCACGCUGUCAAG